GACCAUAUAUACUUAUAGACGUUUCACGACCAUGUUAAUCUUUCGGAUCGAAUUAACGCCAUCUCUUGAUUGGAAUGGGAACUAAAUUGACAAAUUUUAGUUACGUGGGAAUUUCAACUUAUAAAUUUUGCGGGAUUUUUGAUGAAAUUUCGCAGGAAAUUAAAACAACAGAAAGACAAUUCAAUGUUUUAUUCAAUAUUUUAUUGAAAACUUCAAAUAUUCCAAUUUGUUUUCAAAAUGCUAAACACUACUGCCAUGUGUCACGUGAAAGCACUGAUUGUAAUAUUGAGUUGAAUGAAAAUUUUUGAAAAAAUCUUGUAGGAUGAUUGUUUAGAUAAAUAUUACCUUAUAAUCUUUUACAAACUUCCAAAAAUAUAUAGGCCAGAAAUGUUGAUGACACACUUGUCUAUUGGAAUAAACUGUUUCAGGAUCUAUUAUAUUGUUUUUUUUAAAUGUGGAGAAACACAACACACCCUAACAACACACAACAUUCCAGGAAUGUACUACCAAAGUUCUAUCAAUAUUUGAAUGUCCUGGACAUUUAGGGAACAUUCGGUGAACAUCUGUUUAAAUUAUUCCUGGAAUGUUACCAUAAGACAUUCUGUGAACAUACUACCAAUGUUCCUAUAUUUUAAGUUGCGAAAUAAUACAUACAUGUAACAGAUACAACAUUACUUAUAUAACAUACCAGACAAACUAAGUGACACUUUAGGCCUACAGUGCAAUAAUAUGUCAAAUUUAAAGAGUUUCCCAAGUUCAAUUAAUACAAUAUUAUAAACAUACAAAUGUAAUAAAAAUUAUUGUUCGCGAAUAUUCAAUUUGGAAUGCGAUUUUGUUCAUAAAAAAAAAUACUUAUAACUUAUGCAAAACCCAAGAGAGGCAUUUAUAUUUAUUUCUUUUGCGUUCAUUUUCAAAUUCGCCGUGCAUAUAUUUUUGUGCAUGGCGCUUGAGAGGGCAUCACGUGACUAAAAACGACCAACCAACGACCUCGCUUCGGCCAUCUUGGCAUCUUCAUCUUGGACACCUUGCUUUGCCGUGGGUGGAUCGUUGUUUGGUAUUAUUUGUGCUUUUUAAGAAUAUUUUUUUAAUUCGGAUACUUUUAUAAUAGCUUUAAUAGUAUUAUUAACAUAGUGAAUAAAAUGGUGUCCUGUUUUUAACGCAGUUGGAGUAGCAGAAACAAAUGUAGAUAAAAAAUCUGCAGGAAUAACGUUUCAAUUAUGACAGAAGCUCCAAACAAAUGACUGUGAAUGAAAAGCCCUAUUAAAAGCUUUCCAGAAGAUCCUGCGAAGAAGACAUGAAGUAUAGAUCAGAUUUGUUAAUAGAGGAGUAUGUUCAAAACACUUUUUAGAAAAAGAUAUUGACAGAACUUCACUUUCAUCUGUUCGUUUAAGAGACUGUGCUGUUCCAAUAGCUUAUGUCACACAGAAUCAGCUGAGAGAAGUGGUCUACAAAAAACCAGAAAGGAAACGGAAUAUGUGGCUACGAAAAGCAAAAGAAAGGUUUACAAAGCAAAUGUGACACAUUUUUUUAUAAUAUUUAGGAAUGUCAGUAAAUUACAUUAAAAAAUGUAUGUAAAGAUUUUUUGCAAUAAAAAUGUUUAUAUUUA